rnacentral:lncRNA from 1 species
CAGUGUUCAUGCUGGGUCAUUGUGUAUCAGGCCAGGCCGGCCCAAGGAUUGUUUGAUUCCUUAAAGAAGUGUAUUAUUCCGGCCUUGAUAUAAUGACUUUAAAAAUAGAUUUAUUCUAUUCAUAAUUCAUUCAAGAAGAGAUGGUGCCUGAGUUCCACGAAUGUGAAAAUUGGACCAUGGUAUUGCUGCCACCUUGUGGGAGAGUGAAAGAACUUCAAGAGACUGUUCUCUCCCCAGACUCCUUAGCACCCUCUGAUUCCAGCAUUCGUGCAUUUGUGCAUCCUUUCAUCCAGCAUUUACUCUGUGCUAGGCCCUGGCUAGACCCUGGGGACAUAAGAAAGUAAGACACAAUUUGUAUCCUCAAGUGCAAAAGGAGAUGAGGGAAGAUACAAUGCCGACCAGUAGCAGAAUCUCAGAGACCACAUGGAAUAUCUUUUUGCCUCUCUAGAUACAUUCUCCAACCACCUUCAUUCUCUGUUCCCCAGAGGGCUGCCCAGUGUGGGCUGCCUCUGUUCUUCUCUUGCACACUGACUUCCAG